CAUCCCAAUCCUAAUCAGAUUAGGAAAAUUUUAAUGCUAAUCCGCAAGAACAGCGAAUAUACAAAUACAGUCCAGCAAAACCCCUGUCAAAAAAACGAAAACGAGGCCAAGCUUGAAGUUUGAAUCGGGUCGGGUCCGAGUAGUUGUAAUCCUUCCUCUUGCUCUUCUUUACGUCGGCGCCGCCGCUCCCACGUUCCUAUCUUGUCUGGAAGUUCAGUGUUUUUAGGCAGCAAGCAUACAUAAAUGCGAAAAAAACUGGAAAUCCAACCAAGAUUAUAGCCACUUUCCCCAUGAAAUCCGGGUCAUAUCCGAAAUGCUCUUCCAUAUAUGCCUUGACAGUUGGAUGAGGUAAUGUGAUCGUUUGGACUGUUUCGGUCACAUCACCAAAUUGUGACACUAUCAAUCCGUAAACAGUCCAUGCCAUUGGACAUAUGUAGUAAUACCAUAUCCAAUACUUCGGGAUUUUCUGAUUUCAAAAUGGGAAUAAGAAGAGAAAGGAAUAAAGUUAAUAUUGAGAGGUUGUCCCCUUGUUACAACUAAAUAGGGUAAUAAAUAGAAGGACUUACUGGUUUGGGGAUGUAGAAACCAGAGAAAAGAUUGAAGAGCGAAAAGAAAGUACUUGAAACUAUUGCUGCUAGUUGAGGGUUUGGCGUGAUGGACACUGUCAUCAUUCCGUAGUAUAUGAAGUAGAGAAAUGUAAAAAAGUUGAUGAAGAAGAACCAGCAGACUUUGGUGACAGUCCCUUCAAAUCCAACCAUAGGAUACACUAUUAUAGUAUAACAUAUUGUUUGAAUAUACACAUAUGGUAUUUCCACACAUACCUGCAUCAGUUUCAUAAAAAAAUUCUGUUAACAAGGUGAACAAAGUUUCUGACCGUAUAGGUAGAACUAAACUUGACUGGAAUUCUGAAUGUAUAUUGAAUACUAAAAAUGCAAUGUUGAUUAUUACAUGUGCACCUACACAUACGUAUUGCAGUUUAUUGUUUUUUCUAAAAUAUGCAAAUUACUAUUAGCUGCAUAAUAGGUUUUACUUGCAUUAACUUUUUUCAAGCACAACAGUGUCUUUAUACUGUCAUGUGUUCACCUGUGCCAUGGCAUAUGGUAUUGAAGAGUACAUUCCUGCAGCUCUUUCUCGAUAAAACACUGUUCUUUCUACAGCUACCAUCGGCUGUACUGUCAAGCAAUUAUUUAUUCCAAUAAACAGCAUAGAAUUAUACAUGGAUCCAAUGAUUCUGGUGAGCUGCUCGUGGCUACUUUUCCUAGAUGAUUGACAUAAAAUGAAGAAUUAGCAUGCGAGAAGGGACAAGGAUACUAUUUUAGCAUUUUAGUUAUCAUUACUAGCUUGUAAACCUUGCAAUGCACGGGCCAUGAUGUUUAUAUUAAUAUUUAUAUUUUUAAUUGGAUAAAUAAAUUAAUAAAUGGAAAUAUGUUUAUUUUUAUAGUUAUUUUGAAGGUUAUUAAUAGUAGUUAAUAUCUUGUAAUAUUUUUUUAAAAUUGGAUUAUCAUUUAAUAAAUGCAAGUAAAAUAAUGUACAAUUACCAAAAAAUUUAUAGUUUAAAACUUCAAAUUUAAAUAGGUAAUUAGAUUGCAGUUAUGUUAUUAUAUGUGUGUGUGUGUGUGUGUGUGUGUGUGUGACAUUGUUCCAUUGAGAACCAUCUUAUAUGAAGUCUUGUAGAGAACCAUUUGGUUCUACUUUUUAUAUGGAAUAUUACUAAGCAUAAUGUAUUAAUAGAAUAAUGUACUAGAGUAAGAGUUGAGACAGACCUUUCACCAACUUUCCAGAAAACUGUCCCAACAAUAAGUGCACUAGUCAAGGUGAAAAAGUAUCGAACAAGGUUAUAAUCAGGACUUCUCCAAUAGCUAACCCAUUGUUUCCAUAAGCAGGACUCCAGUUGCUUCCAUGUAGACUGAGGAUAUUUGGUAGGGAAGUGAAGGUCAUUAGCUCCUGGAGAAGGUUUAGACAGCUGCUCAACUAGAACCUUAUUUCUUCUGCUCAUUGUUACACGUAUCUCUCAGAGCUUCAACAUGAUACCUCAUAUACAAUGCUAUUAGAGUAUAAGUUAUAUACUUACUGGUAUAAUGCUGAUGAUUUGUAGUGUCUGGCAAAGUCAACCCCAAGACGGUGUUCUGUAGCGACCGAACUUACUUCAAGCAUCCAUGUCGCUGGAUUGUAUUCUUCUUUUAUUUUUGGCACCCCGGUAAUCUCCUGUAGUAGGUGGUGAAACUCUUACUUUUCUUAAGGUAGAAAAACAAAAGAAAGUUUAAAACUAUCACAUGGUUUAUUAAGUGAUUAUAAAGAAGACCAGUACCUCAAAAUAUCUGAUUACUGUAUGAGAGUUUCUGCCCAGCGGUCCAUGGUAGAUCACUUGUCCUCUGCUCUUAAGAAGAAGCAACUGAUGCAAAAUAUGAUAUCAGGAACACUGUGGGCUGAGAGAGCUAAAAUGCUAAAUACAAAAGUUUUCACUGUUACCUCAUCAAAUGCUUCAAAGAUGUCAAUACUAGGCUGAUGAAUUGUGCAAACAACAGUUCUCCCAGUGUCCACUGUGUUUCUAACUGUACGCAUUACAAUUGCUGCUGCUCUGGCAUCAAGACCAGAAGUUGGUUCAUCCAUAAAUAUGAUUGAUGGAUUAGCAACAAGCUCCACAGCUAUUGUCAAUCUCUUUCUUUGUUCUGUUGACAAACCAGUGAUCCCUGGAAGGCCCACAAUAGCGUCCUUCAGAUUGUCUAGUUCCACCAGACUGAUUACUUCAUCUAUAAACAUCUUUGAAAAAUCAGAAAAUAGUUAGUGUAGUCUACAAUCUCUAUCCCCUUUUAUGUUGGAAUUGUAAGAUUAAAUCAUUGUGUUCUUACCAUCUUUUCUUCCUUGCUUACUUCUGUAGGUAGCCGCAGGAAGGCCGAGUAAAUUAAAGACUCAUGAACUGUAACUUGAGGACAUGAUCAUUUGCAGAUAUCAUUAUCAACCUCGUGGAAGGAUGAAACCCAAAAGAAAUAGUAGUAGCAGAGCGAGACUUCCACCAGUGUUUGCCACGACGUUGGUUCUACCCACUCCACAAACAACCCUAAAUGACCCAGCAGCCAUCUGUUGGAUUAGAAAUACCAAGAACAGUUGGGUGAAGAACCUGAAAAGUUAACACACACACCAGAUAAAUCGUCCUUUUCUUGUAGCAAAUGUUAGGGCAGCUUGACUAAAUAAAAUUACCCCACAUAGAAAAUUUUACUUAUGUAAAACCUAUUGGAACUUGUUUGUAGAUGGGGGGCAUUUACUCUAAAGUUACCUGCUAGCUUCAGGGGCAAAUCCAAUGGUGUAAUAGGUUACUGCCAACCAAACUGUAGAUUCUAAUAAAGAUACUGGAAUAUUUAGCACAAAGGUUGGAAGUGUAACGGUCCACAGUGGGUAGAACAGAUGGUCUCUUUGCUUGAAGAACACAGGAAGUCGCUGCAUGAUGAUUGCAAGUUCUGAAAAACCAGUAAACAUAUUGCUCAUUAUUACAAAUGUAAGAGCGCCAAUAUAAGCUGCACCGUCAUCCUCAUUCCUAGUGUAUGAUGUAGUCCUCAUAAACACUGUUGCAGUGAUGAACGCUAGAAUUAUUACGUGGACCAGCUUGAAUGCGUAGAUAAAAGAAUUCCUUUUGAAUAGUAACCAUUCUCGGCCAAAUAUGGUCUUCAACAGCUCCUUCUGAGAAACCAAAUCUUUCUUAAACACAAGAGCACCCUUUUGCAUUCUAUCCUUGUCAUAUUUUACACACAACUCAUCUGCAAGUCUCAAGCCUACAUGAAAACUUUCGAAUCGAGCUGCAAAUUCAACGACGGAUAUGUAUUUAUAAGUUUGAGUUCUGUCAGCCCAGUAAUGCUCUUGAUUCUUCUUCGAGGUAACCUGAAUCCAACAAAUAUCUUCAGACCAUGCCUGAACUGAUAUAAUAUAAAGCAGUUCUGGAUUUAAAGUGAAGAACCAGUCAGCAAUUCCUUUUCGCUCUGGACACUUGAAUCCACAGCUCUCGAAGAAAUCGAUGACAUGCUCUCGUGGGCCCUGAUAGACAAUUUGCCCCUCUGAUAAGAGAAUGAUAUCGUCAAAGAGAUUGAAUAUCUCUGGGUCUGGCUGAAGGAGGGAAAUUAACACUGUAGCUUCUGUCUGGUGGACAAUCUGCUGCAAGCAUUUCACUAUCUGAAAUGCUGUGGAGCUGUCAAGGCCUGUGGAUAUGUCGUCCAUAAAUAGAGUCUUUGUUGGCCCAACAAUCAUCUCUCCUAUGAAUUGUAGUGAUAAAUGAGGCUGAUAAUGUGAAGGACUUCAUUUGCAAGCUUAAUAAAGUACCAUAUCGUGGUCCAACACCCUGGCACCUGGAAGAAAAAUUUAAGGUCUCUUUUACGGUCAUUUGUCCGUCAUGAAUAUCAGUCUGGCUAAUGUAUGAUGAUGUUUUCUGUGGCACAAAUUCGUCCAGUCUAUACCCAUUGUAAGUGAUUUCGCCUGUAACCUGUAGCAAGGAAUGUGUGGUACAAAAAUAAGAGCUUUUUUAUACAGUUUUCAAAAAUGUUUGACAAAUCUGUAUAUCGAGACAAGUCAUUAGGAAUUUUUUUUAACCAAGACAUAAAGAGGUAUGAAAAAAAGGAGAUUGUAACUAACUUUUAAGGUAGAGUUCAGCAUGCCAGCAAGAGCCAAUAAGAGGGUUGUUUUCCCAGAAGAAGGUGGGCCUAGUAGGAGUGUCAUCCUGUCACAACAUUUGAAAAUUUUGAGGGGAUUCACUAAUAUCUGUCGAUAUAUUUAUCAAUCUUAGUAUAGUCGAUCUUUGCAUGCAUCUUGUUCAUAUGUAUGUUUAUCGAUAUAUGUAUUUAAGUGUAUGCCAAUACCUUGCUGGUUUAAUGAUGCCACUUGCAUCUUUUAGAAUCAUGUGUUUUGCUUGCCCUGCUAAUUUAAUCCCAAGGCAGCCACUCAGGGCUGAUUCGGCAACAUUCCAAGCAACAUUUGGCAAGGUGGGAAGUGCUCGAUCUCCGAUCAAGCAAUUGCCUUCCACACUUAAAUUCUGAAACCUGACUUCUACUUUUGGCAAGUCAAUCCCUGCUCUACACCAACUCAUGCCAAAUCGAGUUAAUAAAGAUGUUUGUCUGGAAUGGAGUGCUGGUAAAAAUUGGAUGUCUCCUCGUUAACAAUGUCCAGAAUCUGCAUUCUUGUUUGAUGUGACACUGGGAAAUAUAAUAUUUGAACUUGAUACAAAGAAGAAAAGUUAUAACGACAUAAACAGGAUAGAAAAUAAAGCUCAAUUAAUACAGUUUGCAAAAUAAAAUGGCAGGACACCCAACAACUUUUUUCGGGGAAGGAAAUUUAUUUGGAGUCAUACAUAUGUUUUACGGUGAAGGGAAUAUUUACAAGAAACAUUUGAAAAAAGGGUCAGGUUGUACAAAUGAAAAACAUUAAAGCUUGAAGAAGUGGUUAUUUCGGAAUAAACAUGUGAAGAUCUCAACAACACCUGCAUCAUGAAGAUCCUUGUAGAAUUUUCGUAUAAACUCCUCAGCAGCCUCAUCCACGCAACUUUCCUCCUCAUGCACUUCACCUAUACGGUAAAGCGAGUCCGGUAUCCUCCCCACCGGACUCCUGACCACCUCAUGAUCACUUUGCAGCAUCUCCAGCGCCUUCCUCACCGCGACAUUCACACUCAUCUCGUCGCCAUCUUCCAAUGUAGGCGUGGCAUGAGCACAUGAGAAGAAGCGGUGACUGGUGCUGCCAUUGCGCCUGCUGUGAAGGCGAAAGAGAGGCGUGUCACUGCAGCUGAAUAUGUACUCUCCAGGUAAAACAGAGAGUUGCUGUUGGCUGUCUGCGAUAGUCAUCUUGUCAUGUUGGUUAAACAUGAGGCUCUGAAAGGCCUUUCGGGCUAGCUUGCCGCGCUUCAGCAUCAUUUUGAUAUCGAGCAUGAUUUUUUUGUGGGAUUUAUCUUUACGGAACAUGAAAUACAAUGCACGUACCAUGCUCCA